UACGUAGGGUGCGAGCGUUGUCCGGAAUUAUUGGGCGUAAAGGGCUCGUAGGCGGUUUGUCGCGUCGGGAGUGAAAUCCACUGGCUUAACUGGUGGCUUGCUUUCGAUACGGGCAGACUGGAGGUAUGCAGGGGAGAACGGAAUUCCUGGUGUAGCGGUGAAAUGCGCAGAUAUCAGGAGGAACACCGGUGGCGAAGGCGGCUCACUGGACCGGAACUGACGCUGAGGCGCGAAAGCGUGGGGAGCAAACGGG
rnacentral:rRNA from 1 species